UACGGAGGAUGCAAGCGUCAUCCGGAUUUAUUGGGUUUAAAGGGUGCGCAGGUUGUUUGAUAAGUCAGUGGUGAAAGUCUGUCGCUUAACGGUAGGAUUGCCAUUGAUACUGUUGGACUUGAAUAUGGAUGAGGUAGGCGGAAUGUGUAGUGUAGCGGUGAAAUGCAUAGAUAUUACACAGAACACCGAUUGCGAAGGCAGCUUACUAAUCCAUCAUUGACGCUGAGGCACGAAAGCGUGGGGAUCAAA
rnacentral:rRNA from 1 species